ACGAAUUUGAUCCCUGGGUCAGGAAGAUCCCCUGGAGAAGGAAAUGGCCUUCUCCAAGAGUAUUAUUGCCUGGGAAGUCCCAUGGACACAGGAGUCUGGCACGCUAUCGUCCAUGGCCCGGUGGCGCGGCAAAGAGUUAGACAUGACUUGGUUUCAAGGCAUCACUGAUGUAACCCGGAUCUAAAGUUUUCUUCCCGAGAGAGAAAUUAGAGAUGUAAUUUCUUCCACAGUGUUCCAGGAUCAUCAGAUUGGAGAAACUGACCCAUUGGAACUUAAAACAUACUUGGUAAGU